GUGGCACUGCUCAAGUCACACAUUUCUGGUUGGAACGAUACAAAGAAGAUUAGUAUGGCCCCUGCACAAGGAUGACACGCAAAAAUCGAGAAAUGGUCCAAAUUUUU